rnacentral:rRNA from 1 species
AGUGAACGCUGGCGGUAGGCCUAACACAUGCAAGUCGAACGGCAGCACAGUAAGAGCUUGCUCUUACGGGUGGCGAGUGGCGGACGGGUGGGGAAUACAUCGGAAUCUACUUUUUCGUGGGGGAUAACGUAGGGAAACUUACGCUAAUACCGCAUACGUCCUACGGGUGAAAGCAGGGGAUCUUCGGACCUUGCGCGAUUGAAUGAGCCGAUGUCGGAUUAGCUAGUUGGCGGGGUAAAGGCCCACCAAGGCGACGAUCCGUAGCUGGUCUGAGAGGAUGAUCAGCCACACUGGAACUGAGACACGGUCCAGACUCCUACGGGAGGCAGCAGUGGGGAAUAUUGGACAAUGGGCGCAAGCCUGAUCCAGCCAUACCGCGUGGGUGAAGAAGGCCUUCGGGUUGUAAAGCCCUUUUGUUGGGAAAGAAAAGCAGCAGGUUAAUACCCCGCUGUUCUGACGGUACCCAAAGAAUAAGCACCGGCUAACUUCGUG